GGAGGCCAAGGCAGAUACUGGGAAGAGCCAAGCUGGGAGCAGCUUGGGGACACGUGGAGGAGACACCACCACUCCAGUGCACACAGUAAGCACUGCCCCAUGCCCCUGCAGCCUCCCGGGGCCUGAGAGACCCCUUUCUGCCAGGGAUGGGGCUGGCUCAGGAAAGGGAGGAGGGGAGGGGGCAAUGCAGCCAUAGGAGAUGCCCUCCUCUUUGUCCUGCAGCUGCCCCAUGCCUGGGCACAGCAUGCCUCUCCCCAGCCCAGCCCAGCCCGGCACCCCCCUAAGUCCCCACCAGGACAGGCAGAUAGGUGUCAGAGUCAGCCCAUGCCUGUGCCAGUGCUGGAGCUGGCAGUUGCCCGGCCUCUGGGCUUACACAUCUGGUGCCUGGAGCUGCAGCGCCAGCUGGGCCUCCCCAGCCCGGAUGCCAAGUCACUGCCCAUCUGAUCCCCCCAGUGCCGCUCCGGUGCCCCCGUCCCACGUACGCUGAGAGACGCCGGCUCUGGAAGAGCAUCUCCUGCACCCCUCAGGAUUCCCGCGCAGCCCUGCGGGUCUCACACCUGCUGCCCGCCCUGCCUGAGGAGGCACCACGGUGGGAGGAGGCCGAGGCCGUGAAGACAGAGGAGCCUGGAUCCGACCCACGGGAUAAGGCCGCGCGGCCUCCGGGAUUGGACACCCAGGAGCCCUGUGUCUGCCUCCCCAAGCCCUUGCCCUGCCGGGCCCUGAGGCUCAUAAGCCUCCCUGAGGCUGCCCUGAGCCAGCCCGCGCCCCAUGCUGACACCAGUCUUUCCAGCAGGGGAGCCCGGAGACACAGCCUCCACUGGCCCGCGGGUCCCAGGGGAUAGCUCCGUGUGGGAAAGAGACUCCCUCAGCCGCCCAGGCCCAUCCCCGGGGGAAGCCUUGCAGCACGGCUGAGCCAGAGAAGGGCCCAGAGCACCGCCACCCCCCCCGAACCCCUGCAGGCCACUGGGGUGCACCAGCCUGCAAUGGAAGCUGCACCUCCUGGCCCCAGAGCCUCCGGGCAAGCAGGAUCCUGCAGACACCACCGUGUUGCCAGGGGAAGCCAGCACCAAGGUCCCAGACCCAUCUGAGGAUGUUUGUGCUUCCCAGGAGGCGUCGGAGCGGCACCUCAUGGGGAAGCAGCUGCAGGAGGUGACUGAGCCAGGCCCGGCCUCUUGCCAAAUGCCCUCAGGGGCAGAGACUGAUCCAGGAAAGAAGGACCUGUCCCACCCGUGGCGCACCACCAAUGGAAGUGCAACAAACAGCAUCAGAUGCCUCCUUCCCACCCCGGCGAGAGGCCGCCAUGGAGGAAGGGAGCGGUGGAGCCUGGAACAGCCCAGGAAAGGCACCCAGCUGCCCCCUGCCUGGCGCCCCAGAGGGCAGAGGGGGGCACCCAGCGGGCAGCCAUUGGCAGCUGGGAGCCGAGAGCUGCAUCAGGCUGGUGGGCAGGCGCCUGACCUCCCCUACGUCUGUGGCCUGGAGGGAAAGCCAGCCCGUGCGGUCUGGCCAGGAGACUCUGGGCAGCUUGGUGCCAGCUGCAGCCUGAAGGAGCUUCAGGGGCUGCUCCAGAAGAUCACAAGGGUCAUGGCAAGAAGCCCCAAGGCCUCAACAAGCUCCAUGGCUGGUGCAGGAAGGGGCCUCCAG